rnacentral:rRNA from 1 species
AUGGAGGUUGCCAUGUCUGCAGUUGCAGGAGAAAUUGUGAGCCGAUUCACCUCUUCCCUGCUGAACAAGUACCAUUCGAGCCGUCCACGCUUGGAGGGGAAGGCGGUGGAGAGGUUGCAACAUCUCCUAAUGAGAGUUUGCACCAUUGUCGAGGAGGCAGACACGCGAUACAUCACCAACUUCGGGAUGAUGAUGCAGCUCAAGACGCUUUCAGAGGCCAUGUACCGAGGACACAGUGUGCUGGACAACUUGAGGUACCGGGUCCUUCAGGAUGAUGCAGGCUUUGACAAGGUUAGCAGUAAUGCCUUAUCUAGUAGCGGCUUGUAUCUUGCCAAGCGUUCUCGAACAAUAACUUAUAAGGCCACGCACCUCGAGUCACAUGGUGCCUUGGAAAGCUUAGAAAUUGCUGUUGCUAACAUGGCAGAAUUUGUUGUGCUUCUGGGUGGAUGUGAGUGCAUGUCUCAUAGGCCAUAUGAUGUUUAUCUUUACACCCACAACUUCAUGUUCGGCCGACAUGCUGAAAAGCAAAAGCUCUUGAGCUUGUUGUUGCGGCACAACGACCCUCCUGGUGAUCAUGCACCGGAAGUUCUUCCGAUUAUAGGUGCUGCAGUAAUUGGGAAGAAGACUUUGGUUGCUCAUGUGUGCGGCGACGAAAGGGUUCGCUCACACUUCUCUAUUUUGCACUUGAAUGGAGACAGCCUUUUGAGAACACUUGACCAUGGAAGGACCAUGGAAGGGAUGAUCUUGGUAGUUAUUGAGUUUGCUUCUGAUGUAGGUGACGGUGACUGGAAAAAAAUUCACUCAUUUCUCAUAAGAAUGGGCAGAGGAAGCAAGAUCAUCAUCAUAAGCAGACUUAAAAGAUUAGCCCGGUUUGGAUCUUUGAAACCGAUUUUCCUAAAUAUUCUGUCUUACAAUGAGUUGAGGUACUUUUUCAAGACACUGGUAUUCGGGAGCAUAGACCCCGCAGAACAUCCACGGCUAGGACAGAUAGCAAAUGAAUUUGCCAAGGUGUUCCACAACAACAAAUGUGUUUGCGGAUGUGUUGAGAAGAGACCUUGA